UGGGGAAUAUUGGACAAUGGGGGCAACCCUGAUCCAGCAAUGCCGCGUGUGUGAAGAAGGUCUUCGGAUUGUAAAGCACUUUCGACGGGGACGAUGAUGACGGUACCCGUAGAAGAAGCCCCGGCUAACUUCGUGCCAGCAGCCGCGGUAAUACGAAGGGGGCUAGCGUUGCUCGGAAUGACUGGGCGUAAAGGGCGUGUAGGCGGUUUACACAGUCAGAUGUGAAAUCCCCGGGCUUAACCUGGGAGCUGCAUUUGAUACGUGUAGACUAGAGUGUGAGAGAGGGUUGUGGAAUUCCCAGUGUAGAGGUGAAAUUCGUAGAUAUUGGGAAGAACACCGGUGGCGAAGGCGGCAACCUGGCUCAUGACUGACGCUGAGGCGCGAAAGCGUGGGGAGCAAACAGGUUAGAUACCCUGGUAGUCCACGCCUGUA
rnacentral:rRNA from 1 species